rnacentral:sRNA from 1 species
CCCGGCGGUGAGAGUCGGCCCAAAAAGCGGCGGCUGUUGGAGGUGGCUGCGGCAGCUGAUGUGGCCUCAUGGAUGAGCUGGUACACGACUUAGCCUCAGCCUUGGAGCAGACAUCUGAGCAGAAUAAGCUUGGUGAACUGUGGGAGGAGAUGGCCCUGAGCCCCCGACAGCAGAGGCGGCAGCUUCGGAAACGCCGAGGUCGGAAGCGUCGUUCUGACUUCACUCACCUGGCAGAGCAUACCUGCUGCUACAGCGAGGCCUCUGAGUCAAGUCUGGAUGAGGCCACUAAGGACUGUCGAGAAGUGGCUCCGGUGACCAAUUUUAGUGAUUCUGAUGACACAAUGGUAGCCAAACGACACCCAGCUCUCAAUGCCAUUGUUAAGAGUAAGCAACAUUCUUGGCAUGAAUCUGACUCCUUUACUGAAAAUGCACCUUGUCGACCACUCAGGCGUAGGCGGAAGGUGAAGCGAGUGACAUCAGAGGUGGCUGCUAGCCUUCAGCAGAAGCUGAAGGUGUCAGAUUGGAGUUAUGAGAGAGGCUGCAGGUUCAAGUCUGCUAAGAAGCAGCGUCUGUCCCGCUGGAAGGAGAAUACUCCCUGGACCUCAUCAGGCCACGGAUUGUGUGAAUCAGCAGAAAAUAGGACUUUCCUAAGCAAAACAGGAAGGAAAGAAAGGAUGGAGUGUGAAACAGAUGAACAAAAACAGGGCUCUGAUGAGAACAUGUCAGAAUGUGAAACCAGCAGUGUGUGUAGCAGCAGUGACACUGGGCUCUUUACCAAUGAUGAAGGGCGACAAGGUGAUGAUGAACAGAGUGAUUGGUUCUAUGAAGGAGAAUGUGUCCCAGGAUUCACUGUCCCUAAUCUUCUGCCCAAGUGGGCUCCUGAUCAUUGUUCUGAAGUAGAAAGAAUGGAUUCUGGAUUGGAUAAAUUUUCAGAUUCCACAUUCCUUUUACCUUCUCGGCCAGCUCAAAGAGGGUACCAUGCUCGCUUGAAUCGUCUACCUGGAGCUGCAGCUCGAUGCCUCAGAAAGGGGCGAAGAAGGCUGGUUGGGAAGGUGAUACCUCUCACAGUUAGCUUGGCUCAGUGGGGAGAUAAUAUUCCCUAUGGGAGUUGUGUAUCCUAUUAACAAUCAGAGGUGCUACAGAACUCGUUGAAGUUAAUGGAGCCAACUGGAAUGUGUUGGGAGUUUACAAGAGUGAACAUUAUAUAGAAUGUGAAUGGAUAUACAAAUAAAAGAUGAAACGUAAUUCAUACAGAAGUUCUGACAAAGCAAACACUGUCAUUACAGUGUCUAUUGCCUAUAAACCUACAAGCCUGAGCUGUGUCUUCUGUAACUUUUGAUUAAUGUUAUGUUAUUAUUGUGUAAGUUAAAAUACUCUUGGCUUCUUUAUGACUCCUCUUGAAUUCAUGAAUGCAUCUUUGUUCUUUCCUAACUUUGGUCUUUCAUCCUAGAAUUCAUUAAAAAAAAAAAAACAAAACUGUUACUGAGUUUCAAGAGCCCCUCCUUGGCCAUGAGGGAGAACUAUCUGCUGUUCAUUCAGUUCUGCCUUUGCCAGGGAUGGUGCUAGGGACUCAGCUCAUUUAAUCCUUCCAGCAACCUUGUAGAAAAAGGGCAAGCACCUUCAGCAGAUGAGGAAAACUUAGGUUCGAAGAAGUUAAGGAAUGUCUGAUGUUACCCAGAUAGGAAUGGCGGAGUAGAGAUUUGAACCUAGGUCUACUUUUAUCUUUUUACAUUUUUAUUGAAUUUUAUUUUUUACUCUACUUUGAGAUUGAGAAAUAAAUUAAGACAGGGGCUUAUCCUCAGUCAGAGAAGAUGGUGGUGGGCAAAGAAUAAGGAAGGGAGAGGCAUUGAGAGCAUUAAUUUGUUUGUUCACUUGGUAAGCAUUUAGAAUGCCUGCUAGGUGGCACAAUAUGUGCCACAGUCUGGCUUCCCUUAAGGGGAUACUGUUUUAUAGUCUGACCAGGGAACGGUUUUCUGAAGUUUUAGGCAUGCAAAAGAAAUGAGGCUGUUUAUUUCCAGAUGAGCCCAAGAUUCUUAUUUCUUUUUAUCUUUAAAUUCAAGUUCAAAUCUUUUUUUUUUUUUGAGAUGGAAUCUCGCUUUGUGACCUAGGCUGGAAUGCAAUGGUGCGAUCUCAGCUCACUGUAACUUCCUGCCUUCCAGGUUCAAGCGAUUCUCCUGCCUCAGCCUCCCAGGUAGCUGGGAUUACAGGCGCCCCACCAUGCCUGGCUAAUUUUUUUGUAUUUUUAGUACAGACGGGGUUUUACCAUGUUGGCCAGGCUGGUCUCAAACCCCUGACCUCAGGUGAUCCACCCACCUCGGCCUCCCAAAGUGCUGGGAUUAUAGGCAUGAGCCACCGUGCCCGGCCUCAAGUUCAAAUCUUGAAUUAGAAGACAUUUGAUUAUUGAAAGACUGAUACCUUUCAAAUUACUCGUUUUACAGACAAAACUCUGCUUUUGCUGUUUCGGGAGCUUAUUGUUAACAGGGAUAGCUAGCAGAAUAGCAGUACAUGGGGUGGAAGAAGGAGAGGUUUUACUUUUGUUGAUUAGGCUUGACAUAAUGUUCCCCCUGCCACCUAUGUUACUUUCUUUCAGCUCUUGUAAAAUAAGAGCCAUCUACUUCCAUGGAAACAAGUCACUUUAUCUUGAAGGUUUCCCUUUAGCUUGCCUGGAAGGGAAUGAGGGCCUAUUGGAUGUGCCUUUAAUGAUUUCAAAUGAAUAGGAUAAUAUUUACUUGUUUAAUUCAUCUUCAUCACCUUAAAGGGAUAUUUAUCAUUUCUAGAAGAGGUCACCGCUCUGCCCCCCUUCUUCCCCCUCCCCCAUCUCUCUUCUGCUUUUCUAAAUUGUAAUCAUAAAUAAUGAGUUUCAUUCACAGCUCCCUGCCAACGAGCUGCUAAUUACACAAAGUACUGCUUGUAAUUUACACAGUAAUAAACUGUAAAUUUAAACAUUACGGCACUUUAAGUUAAUAAUUUUUCUGCUGUAACAAAUAGCUCAUUUUUCACCCAUCUUUUCCCUUGGCCCCGCUACCAUGUCUGUGUCUGUGACUAGGAGGCAUAGCUAUAAGAAAUGCAGAAUGUGAAGAAUAUAGUAUAUGAAAACUUCUCAUUUAACUCCACUACCGCCCGGACUCUGACCUCAGAGUAAUUUUUCUAUAGCCAGUUCUGCUGAAAUGUGUAGCCUGAUGUUUAGCACGGUCCACACAUAUAGAUGAAUAUAGGUAAUAGCAUUUGUCCAGACACAAAUGUGUUUGAAGAACAGCCUUGACAUUCUUGGCAUUCACACCCAUGACUUGUGUUCUCUCAACACAACAGUUACUCAGAUGUGUGUUGGUAUGCUUUCCCAGGUGCCAUGGUAGGUAAGCAUUGUGAAUGUACUCAAGUUAAAUGAAGAGUGAAUUGCCGUUUUCUAAUUUUUUGGAAAUGGUUGGUUUCUGAACUGUUUGUGGUGUUAUGGGUAAGCUUUUACACUAUAGUCUUGAGAACCCUGAAUUUAGGAAUCAAUUUUAUGCAAAUUUCUAUUUUUAUUUCAUGAGAUGAUGUUUGAGGGACAAAGUACCGAGUAACAAUUUUUGCAAGUCACAAAAUUCUUUUGAUGUAUUUAUAUUUAGUCAGCAGAUAUUUACGUUUUACCAGUGAGGAUUUGGUAAUGUCCCAGGAUGAAGGCUGUUGGGACUAUAAUCACAGAGCUCUAGGGAGCUUGGUGUGUUGGCCUGUUAAAAAUUGGCUACUGUUGAAUUUUCUAAAAAAGGAUUUUUACUCCUAUAUACUUCAGUAGUUACAGGAGGUAUAGUACUUAUUAAAAUACCGUAUAUGGUGAACAGUGUCUAUAAAGUGUUUAUAAAGACUUUUGGAUCACUGGAGAAUAAUAAAUUUAGGGUAACAUGUAAUACUUUUAAGAUGGAUUCCAAUAAAAAGAAGUAUAGUUGCUGUUUUAUUUUAAGAUUGACUUUUAACAUGUGCCUUUUGAGGUUGCCUUAGCUGGCACAGUUAUGGGAAAGAUUGAUAUUGUACUUUAUAUGUUUGUUUCUGUGGUUGGAUGAUACUCUUGUCUGCCUUGUCUUUUUAGGAGACCAGCAUAAACACUUUGGGGACUGAGAGGAUAAGCCAUAUCAUUAGUGACCCUCGGCAGAAAGAUUUCUGGUUACCAUCAGCUGUGAAAAGAGAACGAAAUCAGGUAAGGUUAUUUUUCUUUGUCAUCUUUGUUUUAUCAUUUGGUUUCCUUUUCUUUAGAAAGAAUAAAGCGUUGACUUCUGAUUUUCCUCACAUUUCUGCUUGUGCACAUGAGGUAAGGUUUCCUCUUGUUAUUUUGAUUUUCUUGGAGAACUGUUUUCUAAGAGUAUCCAAUACUUAACUGGUAAAAACUGCAGCUAAUUCCUCUUUGUAGGUUCAACUGUGAUCAUUAGUUUCUUGUAGUAUAUAUUUCAUAGGAAUCCUGUUUUUAUUUUAGUUUUGAACUUUGCAGUAAGAAAGCGGAAUGAAUCUCAUUUGCAUAUGGUUUAGUUCAACAUCAGAAUCCUGCGUUGAGAAGUACUAUGUUGAAGCCUAAACGUAUGAAGCAGAAGGUAGAGCUGCUUUGGGUGAAGCGGGGUCAAAGCCUUAGAGCAGUGGUCCCCAACCUUAUGUCACCAGGGACCAGUUUUGUGGAAGACAGUUUUUCCAUGGACCCGGGUUGGGGGCGUGGUGAGGGGGGUGGUUUUGGGAUGAUUCAAGUGCAUUACAUUUAUUGUGUACUUUAUUUCUGUUAUUAUUAUAUUGUAAUAUAUAAUGAAAUAAUUAUACAACUGAUCAUAAUGUAGCUUGUGUUCCUGCAACUAGACAGUCCCAUCUGGGGGUGAUGGGAAACAAUGACAGAUCAUCAGGCAUUAGGCUUUCAUAAGGCGUGCACAACGUAGGUCCCUCUCAUGCUCAGUUCACAGUAGGGUUUGCACUCCUAUAAGAAUCUAAUGUGGCUGUUGAUCUGACAGGAGGUAGAGCUCAGGCAGUAAUGUGCAUGAUGGGGAGCAGCUGCUUGCUGACAGCUCACCUCCUGCUGUGCGGCCCCGGUGUUGGGGACCCCUGCCUUAGAGCCUCUCCUUCUUAGUCUUUUCCCUGGCUACCCACUGAGGGGACCCUUGGCAUAUUUAGGCCCAUGUGGAGGGCUCACAAUUUAAAAAUUAACUCACAGUGGUUAUUGAUAUGUUUCUUUAUGUGUGAAGCUUUGUGAUUUUUUUGGAGGAUUGCUUUAUCUUGGUGAUUAGUUGUAAAAUAGAUGAACACUGACAGGUGAAAAGUUGUAGGCUUCCUGUUGUGUGUUUUUUUUUUUUUUUUUAGCAACUUAGUAGCUUAUUGAGUUGAUACACAUGAUCCACAUUUUAGACUUGGAAUCUUCAUUGUGAAUUCGCUGUUUCAAAAUUAACUAGAGUGGUAGAAGACAUUACUGGUGUAUGUGUAUGAGAUGAUUUUAGAUGGCAUAUGGAUGCACAAUUUUUAAGUUAUGUGUUAUAGCGUACAUUGGAAAAGAUGUAAUUAUGGUAUCAAGCCUGUUAUUUCAUGGAAAUAUAGUAAGGACAAAGCUGAGCAAAAAUAAUUGAUAUGAGGAAAAAUAAUAAGUAAACAGUAGUACAGGUUGUAGGCAGAUAAGGAAAGUCAUGAAGGUGGUAUGUGAGAGACUGCAGUUUGGGGAACACUGAGCUAGAGCACUAAUCAUGUUUGCAUCAGAGGACCUAAAGGCAGAAGGGGACCUGUGGCAGUCACCUGGUCCAGAUCCGUUAUUUGCAAAUGAUGAACUGGAGAUCUAUAAGAUUCAAACUAUUUGCCCAAAGUCAUACAGCUAAUAGAACCAAAAUUGGAACCUCUGUGGCAGAUAGAACAGUUGCUUAGUUUGUAUUCUCAUAAAACACGUUUGAAGUUAUCAUUCCGGGUUCUUCCAGUCUUUGUAUGUCAGAGGGUGUUAAGUUCUAAACUUUUUGGAGAGGACUGUAUGUUGUGGGAAAAGUCCGAGGAAAGCUAGCAAGCAUAAAGUGAGGGAUCUCAUUUGAUCCUCACAGCCACCUUUUGAAGUCAAGUAGAUGUUUUGCAGAUGAGAAACUGAAAUUAUACUCUGAAAGCAAUAUUUCAUUUAACCCUCAUAAUAACCCUGUGAAAUAGGUAGGGCAGGCCUGGCGCAGUGGCUCAUGCUUGUAAUCCCAGCACUUUGGGAGGCUGAGGCAGGUGGAUCAGCUGAGGUCAGGGGUUCGAGACCAGCCUGGCCAACAUGGCGAAACCCUGUCUCUACU